CUACGGGGCGCUGCAGUGAGGAAUAUUGCACAAUGGGGGGAACCCUGAUGCAGCAACGCCGCGUGGAGGAUGACGCAUUUCGGUGUGUAAACUCCUUUUAUAUGUCAAGAAAAUGACGGUAGCAUAUGAAUAAGCACCGGCUAACUCCGUGCCAGCAGCCGCGGUAAUACGGAGGGUGCAAGCGUUACUCGGAAUCACUGGGCGUAAAGGGCGCGUAGGCGGGUUGGAAAGUCAGGUGUGAAAUCCUACAGCUUAACUGUAGAACUGCACUUGAAACUUCUAAUCUAGAGUAUGGGAGGGGGAGAUGGAAUUAGGGGUGUAGGGGUAAAAUCCGUAGAUAUCACUAGGAAUACCUAAAGCGAAGGCGAUCUCCUGGAACAUUACUGACGCUAAGGCGUGAAAGCGUGGGGAGCAAACAGGAUUAGAUACCCCAGUAGUC
rnacentral:rRNA from 1 species